CCUACGGGUCGCAGCAGUGGGGAAUAUUGCACAAUGGGCGCAAGCCUGAUGCAGCCAUGCCGCGUGUAUGAAGAAGGCCUUCGGGUUGUAAAGUACUUUCAGCGAGGAGGAAGGCAUCGAGGUUAAGAACCUUGGUGAUUGACGUUACUCGCAGAAGAAGCACCGGCUAACUCCGUGCCAGCAGCCGCGGUAAUACGGAGGGUGCAAGCGUUAUUCGGAAUUACUGGGCGUGAAGCGCACGCAGGCGGUCUGUCAAGUCGGAUGUGAAAUCCCCGGGCUCAACCUGGGAACUGCAUUCGAAACUGGCAGGCUAGAGUCUUGUAGAGGGGGGUAGAAUUCCAGGUGUAGCGGUGAAAUGCGUAGAGAUCUGGAGGAAUACCGGUGGCGAAGGCGGCCCCCUGGACAAAGACUGACGCUCAGGUGCGAAAGCGUGGGGAGCAAACAGGAUUAGAUACCCGUGUAGUC
rnacentral:rRNA from 1 species